GAGGGUAUAGCUCAAGUGGUAGAGCCCACGCUUAGCAUGCAUGAGGUCCCGGGUUCAAUCCCCAGUAUCUCCU
rnacentral:tRNA from 1 species